rnacentral:ncRNA from 2 species
CUACCCCGAAAAGGCCUCGGUCCGGGCGACUGCCCGGUGAAUAGGGAACGUGGUGCGAAUCCACGGCUGCCCCCGCAACUGUCAGCGGCGAGCGCGCGCGGCACAUGCCACUGGAUGCAGACGUCCGGGAAGGCCCGCGUAGCGUGACGACCCGCGAAGCCAGGAGACCUGCCGCGGCGAUCACCCUUUU